rnacentral:lncRNA from 1 species
UUUUUUUUUUUUUUUUUAAGCUUUGCCUCAGCCAAAUUUCAGCUAUAGCCUGUAUCUGCUGUUAGAAUAACCUCAGCUGCCAUGCAGCCCAAAUCCCAGUUGUAUCCACGGUUGGUCUAAAAACUGACCUGGUCCCCGAGUGUGUCUGAGAAUAACCAGUCCCCUCCCAAUUCUCUCUACAGUGAGCCAGUGUUCAUCAAAAUAAGGGAUUCAGAUCAGUAAACUUAUUAUUUAAAAGAGGAAAAAACUUGGGGAGUUCCUGUCAUGGCGCAGUGGUUAACAAAUCCGACUAGGAACCAUGAGGAACUCCAAACUUGUAAACUUUUUAAAAAAUAUAAUUGAAAUUCUUCAGGAAAAGUGCUGGUAUUUUUCAUAUUUUUCUGCCAAAUGAUAUGACCUUUCAUUCAGUGAGCAUCACUGACAAAUAGCGUAAUUAGUUUUUUAAAUAUAAAAUAUUGUAUUUAGAAUUAAAAGGUCUGAUGUCUCUGAAGGGAUCAUAAGAAUGUGAAACUAAAUACCUGAAAAAUAGUAAACAUCCCUUAAGUUUCAAGUAUCACUGCCACACCAUCUAUUUCAUCUUAAAUGUCAGGUUCAUGUGGGUUAGAACUUAAAAGCUCAUAAAAGUUCUAAGAGAAAGGUCUUGGAUACAUAAAUAUGUUAAGCAGCUAUUAAAGAAAAAUCUUUAUAUUUUCAUUAACAAGACAAAAAAGAAUCCUUUCAAAAGAAAAGUAUGCCCAUCUUUCUUUUAUUGAUAUGGAAAAAAUAAGUACUCAGUAAAUAUUUUUUAAUUCCAUGCUUAUGGCUGAAACAGAUCUGGUAGAGAAAAAGAACUGGUAUUAUUCUUACUGAGUAUCUCAUAUUGCAAAGAGAAUCUUUAAGUUUGAAGAUGAAAAUAUGGUAUCACUGUUUAUGGAAUGCUCACACUGUACUUGGCACAAUACCACGGAAGGCAGAGGUAUGGUUUCUGCUCCAGGGAUUUGCUAUCUAAGAAAUACAGACAAAGUCAUUUGCAUAUAACAAGAAAGCCAAUGCUUCAGUUAAAUGUCAGAGUUUCAGAAGUACCAGCUUUUAAGCAUCUUUUAGCUUCUUUCCCCCUUCUUUAUUUCUUUAUUUCUACACCUUCCUUUUUUUCUCUCUCUCCUUUUCCUUGAGUUUCUGUGCCCAAAGGAUUUUCAUAGAAAGGGUAAAUGAAAAACAUGCAUUUUGAGGACAAAGGAGUAAAGAAAUUGACAGUUUUAAGUGCAAAAGGGCUGCUUCAGAAGCUAAAAAACAAAAUAGAGAAAAAUCUCACCAGGACAUAAGACACUUAGAAAGGAACAUGGUCAAGAGAUGAAACAAAUUUCUACAACCGUUCUUGUGUUCUUUAAUACUGGACACUGAAAUAAAUGCUCAGUCUUACAUGGUUUUCUUUGAUGCCACUGGGAUUGCAGUGGAAGAGGCAGCUGUUAGUCAGGAUCCAGACCCUUCUGCCUCUAUUCCACCAGGGUUACAUUAACUCAUGCUACAAAUGUUGACUGAAACAGGCUGAAAAAACAUCCUCGGGGUCAACUUGAUGGCUCUAAACUAUUACAAUUUUAGGGACUCAGCAAAGGAACAGCAGAGAGCUCAUUAAAUAUUGGUUGCUAUUAUUACCAAUUACAGCGGAAAAUACUAAUGGCUCCUAAAAAAACAAGAAUUUGCCAUAAUUCUUUACCUUUAUGGAACUUACAAUUUUUUUUUAAUGUUAAACUUUUUUUUUUAAGACAAAAUAAGGUAGAAAGUUUUCCCUUGACUAUACAAUACAUACAUAAGAUCCAGAUAUUAGGGGAAAAACUGCCAGGAAAAAAAGGAAAGAGAGAAAGAGAAGGAGGAAAAAAAGGGAGGGAAUGAAGGGAAGAAGGGAGGGAGAAAGAAAGGGAAUGCAGAGCAUAAUUCAACAGGGUUCUUAACUUCCAACAUGACAGUUUUCUGGAUUCAAGAUGGAUUUCAAGGAUGGAUGUACAGAACUACGUAUGGUACAGAUUCAAGGCCCAUAUUUUCAGUAGCUAUUGUUCUUUGUAGUUCUGGAAUCACUAACAGAAGGUAGAGCUAGUGUGAUUUGUAAAAUCUCUCAGAGGUUUUUCUACAUCAUGAUGUGUUAAUUCCUGGCAUUCAGUGUAUAAGGGUCUCCAAACUCAUUUCAAAGGUUACAUACUAAAUUACAUUUAUGUAAGACACCUCUCAUUACAAUAUUUUAUAGACUCCUCCCAUGGCCACCUUCUUCUCAUCAUCAUGACAACCUAGAAAUUAUCAGAAACGAAUCAGCCUGCCACACUGUGCUUUGAUCUCCAUUCCUUUUGAUAAUUUUCAUCAUCUUUUGAUUUUUAACUAAACAUUUUGGCUAAAGUUGGGUUCUUGUGUCUACUCUCUCCUAAAUCAGGCAAAUAUACAUAAAUUCUACAUACGAACCAGGAUUAUGUUCCAAAACGUGUUUCAUUGGCUACUCACCUCAACACUACUUGAGUGCUUACUACAAUGCAGAUUUCUGAAUCCAGCUUCAAAUCAUUAAGUCAGAAGCUUAGAAGAUGUGUCCUGCAUACCUACAUUUUUAACAAGUUCCAGGGAAAUUCUGCCUCCAGACACCUGCCAUUUAGAAACUAAUGAGGUUUGAAAGUCCCUCAAUUCUAUUUAAGCUACCUCAACAACUUGAAGUUACAAGGCAGGAUAAUCUCAAAAGGAACUAAGGAAAUGCUGUGUCAGAGGAAAUGACCAGAGAUACGUUGGAAAUCUAGUAUAUGGCAUCAUCUAGGUUAAUAACUUAGCCACAAAUGGCUCACUCACUAAAACUAUUUUGAGAUCAUAAAAUUUAAUUGGAAAGGCCUAUACCAUAAUUUAGUGCAACCUUAGCUUGACCUCCAUAUUAAACCUGAGGAAAUGAAAGAUUAGGGAGUCCAUUUAUUAUCUGUUAUUUUAUUUAUUUUAAAAUAGGAGAUUUUUGCUUAUUUUUUAAGAGUCAUACAUGAUAAUGAAAUGUAUAAAAUGUAUUCACUUUGCCAGAAUAGCCAAUCUCUUGCCAGUUGAGAGAGUGUUAGUGGGCCUGACUUAUUUGUUAUAAUUCAAUCCAAUUAUCUAAGCUCCAAAAUGGGGGUAGAGGAGGCAGAGAACUUCUGUGAAUAACUGGUUCAGUCUCAGAGUUUCAAGUAGGUUAGGAUGUGUCAAUCAUCCCAGGCCCUGAGAAGGCAAUGAAGACACAAUUUCAAAUGUCAUGCUUUUGCUUGCUGUGAGCCACAUGAAAGACAGUGAAUCUUAAACAUAUUUGUAUGCUUAAUAAGUACAGAUUCUUCUGCACACAUGCCAUUAAGCCCAAGUACAUUUUGCUUAUCUCUGUGUUAUGUUUACAGAAUCAUCUAACAUGACUCAAAUCAUUGAGAUUUUUUUUGGUGUAUGAAAGUUGGCCCAUAGAAAUAAACAUUUGACCAAAAAAAGCUAAACAAAUUUAACCAAGACUGUCUACCAAAAUGACAUAAAAUUCAAUCCUUGGUAAGAGAGGAUUUUUUGAGCAUGUAGCUAAUAAAAUUUUCAUCAGGAAAAUAACGCUGUUAAUCACAUAUUGUUAUAAUCACUCCAACACCCACUUCUUUCUCCUUGCUCUCAAUGCAAGUUUAUAUUCCAGUGAAAAGUUAGAAGCAGUCCUAAAAGAAUGUCCACAGGCUCUGACCACAGCAUGAGCACCUCCUGUCUUCUUUCUAAUAGGGAUGUGCUAUCUAUUCUCCUCACAAAGGCCACGCCCUCCACUCCUAUCCUGGAUCCUACCCAGUCCUCUUCUCAACAGCAAUCACUCCAUUGGCUCUUUCCCCUAUAUCCUCAAUGGUUUUUCCUCUCAACUAGAUUAUAAAAAUCUUUAAUAUUGCACACCAAAGAAAGGGAAGGAGAGAAGGAAGGAGGAGAGGGAGAGAGGGAAGGGAAGAAGAGGAGGUUAAAAAACCCUCCCAUAGCCUCCCUACUGCUCUCUUGUUACUUAGAGAUAAGCUUACCUUAGCAAGACUCAUCUCCUUAAGGCUGGGCUCUCAGAAAAGAAUCCUUGUCCUAUAGAGCUCCCACGGAAACUAGUACUUAUUAUAUUCACUCCUGGUCAAUCAGAAAUGAACCUUGGCCCUGUGAGCAGUUAAGGAUUGAAGGACUGAGGCUGAAAGGAAAGUAUCACUGCAGCCUGUACUCACAUCAGGAGUGGAGAUGGUGCACCUUUAAAGCCCCACAGCCUGACAUCAGAGUCCCUCUCCUAAAGUCUGACACUCAGCCCCGCUGGAUCUCUGUGUACUGCCCAAAUGCAGUGGACAGUGGGGGCUCACGCUCCUGAUACUGGUCCUGCCGCUGUGAGUUUUCCCCCAACAAACACUGCUCCUGCAAGCCUGGCAUGUGUGCCACUGGCCAUCCAUUCAACAUGGCUGGCACAACAGUACCAUUCUCCUGUUCACAGCAAAACUCCUCAAUACUUACCUACACUGUUGCUUCUUUUUUUUUUUUUUUUUUUUU